rnacentral:rRNA from 1 species
UACGUAGGUGGCAAGCGUUAUCCGGAAUUAUUGGGCGUAAAGAGCGCGCAGGUGGUUGAUUAAGUCUGAUGUGAAAGCCCACGGCUUAACCGUAGAGGGUCAUUGGAAACUGGUCAACUUGAGUGCAGAAGAGGCAAGUGGAAUUCCCAGUGUAGCGGUGAAAUGCGUAGAUAUUGGGAAGAACACCGGUGGCGAAGGCGACUUGCUGGGCAGCAACUGACGCUGAGGCGCGAAAGCCAGGGGAGCAAACGGGAUUAGAUACCCGGGUAGU